rnacentral:lncRNA from 1 species
CGCGCGACCUGCCGGCUCAGCUUAUCAUGUGCGUAUGGCUGCACACAUGCCCAGACAUACUUGAAAACACAACUGCAUGCUUCGUCGCACUUAUUUUUUCGAAAAUGCGAUGUGCGGUCCGCCGUACACGUGUACCGCCCUGCAGGACAUCAUGGACGAGCCGGUGGUUGCUGCGGACGGCUACACAUACGAGAAGUUGGCGAUUGCGGAGUGGAUGCGGCGCAGCUCCUCCAGCCCCCUGACCAACCUCCCCAUGAAGAACACCAACCUGGUUGAAAACAGAACGCUCAGGAGCGCCAUCCGGGAGUGGCGGGAGCGCCAGCAGCACCAGCAGCACCAG